UACGUAGGGUGCGAGCGUUAAUCGGAAUUACUGGGCGUAAAGCGUGCGCAGGCGGUUUUGUAAGAACGAUGUGAAAUCCCCGGGCUCAACCUGGGAACUGCAUUGGUGACUGCAAGGCUAGAGUGUGUCAGAGGGAGGUGGAAUUCCACGUGUAGCAGUGAAAUGCGUAGAGAUGUGGAGGAACAACGAUGGCGAAGGCAGCCUCCUGGGAUUACACUGACGAUCAUGCACGAAAGCGUGGGGAGCAAACAGG
rnacentral:rRNA from 1 species